CCUCUCAUGGCGUAGUGGUUAACGCGCCCCAACUAGAGAUCCGGAAGUCGUGAGUUCGAUUCUCACUGAGAAGA
rnacentral:tRNA from 1 species